rnacentral:rRNA from 1 species
UACUCUUAUGUUGCCAGCACGUUAUGUGGGGACGUCGUAAGAGACUGCCGGGGCCAACUCGGAGGAAGGUGGGGACGACGUCAAGUCAUCAUGCCCCUUAUGUCCAGGGCUUCACACAUGCUACAAUGGCCAGUACAGAGGGCUGCGAGACCGUGAGGUGGAGCGAAUCCCUUAAAGCUGGUCUCAGUUCGGAUCGGGGUCUGCAACUCGACCCCGUGAAGUCGGAGUCGCUAGUAAUCGCAGAUCAGCAACGCUGCGGUGAAUACGUUCCCGGGCCUU